CCGUUUCAACUUGUUGCGGACAAAUCCAGUGAAUAUGGGUAUCAACCCCCCCAGCAGUUAAAAUCUGACCUUCGCCUGCGAUCACUUCCGUUGCAGCACCAAGAGGAAUAGUAAUAUUCGGUUGAAUAUCCGGAUUACCAGCUUUACCAAUUUUCCAGAUUCGGCCAUUUUUCAAGCCAACAUCAGCUUUAACAAUGCCCCACCAAUCGAUAAUCAGGGCAUUUGUAAUGACAGUGUCAGCCACUUCGGAUGACAAAAGCUGCGAUUGCCCCAUGCCAUCGCGA
rnacentral:sRNA from 1 species